rnacentral:rRNA from 1 species
AACGCACCUUGCGCUCCCUGGUAUUCCGAGGAGCAUGCCUGUUUGAGUGUCAUGGAAUUCUCAACUCAUCAGUCUUGUUAUGAGGCUUUGAUGGGCUUGGAUUUGGAGGUUUAUGCUGCAUUUGUAUUAAUGCGGCUCCUCUUGAAUGUAUUAGCUUGGACUUGUCCCGGCGACGUCAUAGCGUGAUAACUAUCUACGCUUUGAACCGUCUGUUGGUACCUAGUCGGUCUGGCUUCCAAUCGUCUUCGGACAAUACACCGUUCAUUUUGACCUCAAAUCAGGUAGGACUACCCGCUGAACUUAA